rnacentral:misc_RNA from 1 species
UCUCCGUAGGUGAACCUGCGGAGGGAUCAUUACCGAGUGAGGGUUCCGGCCCGACCUCCAACCCUUUGUGAAUUCGACCCAGUUGCCUCGGGGGCGACCCGGCCCUCUGGGCGUCGGGGCCCCCGGUGGCUCACACCUCAACUCUUGCAUCUGUGCGUCUGAGUAACAUAUUGAAUCAAUCAAAACUUUCAACAACGGAUCUCUUGGUUCUGGCAUCGAUGAAGAACGCAGC